UGGUGUGCCUCGAGAUUUUUUCAAUUAAAACAAUUACCUUGGCUCAAAAAAGGUUGAAAAACACUGCUCUAGAUCACUGAGCGGAUUUGCCAUUUACAUUUCACAAAGAAAUUAAAAAUUUCAGUCGUCCACUGGCUGUUAAUGCUUUGAACAGAGUGUGCAGCUGCUUUCCACUUACUGUACACAAAUGCAGGUACAUAAAGGAAAAAGGUGUAUGAAAUAUUGGUGGGGGUUGUCCCACCAAUAACUCCGUCCCCUUCAGGCCAGAGUUGGUGGGGACAUGUCCACACCAGUCCUUCAGGAAGUUACGCAUAUGCAAGAAAACCAACUAUCUAGUCACCACUAUAAACUUUAAAGUCAGAAAACCCUUAGUAAAAUCUAAAGAACAUAUACGUCUUUACAUAAGGCCGAACAAAUAAAAUAUUAAUGGCCACCUUAUCCCUUGAACCAAGGCACAACUGGAAAUGUCCACUUACAUCAAUAUACAGUCAUAAACAAAUGUAACCGAGUCUGUUGGUUACUGACAACCUGCAGAAGGAAGAGACCAAACGGCAAAACCAAAUAAAAUACAUGGUGCAUCUUUACAUCACACUAAUACUCCUUCAAUUUACAAACAAUACAGUUUUAAUUACUAAGUAAGCAAAUUACUUAAUUGCUGCCUUUACCUUUUAUAUUAUUUAGAUAUUAAAGUAAAAUAAAAUCCCAUUGUAUUUCUUUCAGAAACAAGAAUAUGAAAUCCAUAGCCAUCACCAACGUUAUGCAAUAGUAAAGAAAUGUUUGCUCUUAAUAUAUUUGUGUCCCGUCUUGAACUAUGUAGGAUUUUAACCUUAACAAGCAGGAACAAGUUACAGUAACCUCAGUUUAUGUCAAUACUGUAUUUAUUAUGUCAGAUCAGCUACAGUAUAGAUUUAUAAUAACCUUGGCCUGUUUGUAUUAUUAUUAUUAUUAUUCACUGAUCUGAACAAAAUGCAGUUCACUUCAACCUAAUUCAUUUAAAUCAGUUCAGUUUUCUUCAGUUUUAUCCAAUUUGGUUAAAUCAUAUUCAUUUAAUUUAAAUUUAGUUUAUUGUAGUUUGCCUCAGUUCAGUUUGAGCUCAGUUCAGAAAAACUCUGCUUAUCCUGGUUUAGUUGAAUUUUCUAAGUUGAGUGGAGUUCUGUCCAGCUCUCUUCAGCUUGGUUUGAGUUACAGUCAUUUAAUUUGAUUCAGUUUGUAUCAAUUUAAGGUUGAUUAUUACAAUUUCCUUCUCUAACACUAAUUUACAAUAAAAGCAGUCUAAAGGCAGGUUACAAGAAAAGUUUGUCCAGCUCAUAAAUAUUUUAUUUACAUCCACUUUAACUCAAUUCAUCUUUUUUUCAGUGUGAUUCAAAUGCAGCUACUUCAAAAAAAAAAUGUAAAUGAAAUAUAAAAUGAUUGAAUCUAAAUUCACCAAGAGUUUGAAGCUCUAGUUUCCAAGCUACAGAAUAACUACACUGCAUUGAGGUUUCUCAGAAGUGAAAAUAUGUUUGCUGCUAUACUGUUCACAUGCAAGAUAUGUAGUUAUACUAAAAAUGAUACAAGCUAAGAUUUGCAACAGUUUGGUUUUAUUCUGUCCUUUUUAAUUCCUGUAUUUUUUUUCA